rnacentral:lncRNA from 1 species
GCCCCGCCCCGCAGAGCGGCGCCGUGCUGGGGACUCUGCUGGGCACACGCAGGCCGCUGCCAGGGAGUCCCACACGUUUGGGCAUCCCUGCGCGCAUGGAGACCUCUGUGGUCCAGACCAGGAGCUCCGAGAUCCGCCCCUGCACGCAUUAUGCCUCAGCUCUUCCUUCUGCACAGCAUCCGCACCCGGCUCCUGCCACGCACAUCCCCCAACUACGCCUGUGAUGGGCCGAACAUUGUCAGCUUUGCUCCCGGUUGCCCCCAGGGUCUGCGGGGAAGCCCGGGUCCAGGACUUUUGGGAGCCUCCUCCGGCUGCAGGAAGCCCCAGACUCAGAAGUGAGGUAGGCUCACCCCGCCAGUACUAAAGGGAACCCGGAGGAAGGCCACUGAAGGUGGCUGAUAAUACACCAGCACACCAACAGGUUGGAAUUUAACUCAUGACUACAAAUCUCUCACCGGCCCCAAAUUUCCUGCUCCCCUUUCAGUGCACAAGCCUACCUUCCAGGAUGCCAAUUUUCUCUUUUCUCCAAACAUGCCCCUCCUCUUUCCACUGUAAGCUCGUCUGCAACAGUGGAGCCAGGAGGAGAACACCCCUUAAGUGUGUCCCCUCUCCAGGAGGAGACCCUUACCACAUCCUGUGGAAUUCUCAUCUGAAAUCUCCCUGCAGCGCAACACCCUGCUGCCUC